AGAGUUUGAUCAUGGCUCAGAUUGAACGCUGGCGGUAUGCUUAACACAUGCAAGUCGAACGGUAGCAGGCCUUCGGGCGCUGACGAGUGGCGGACGGGUGAGUAACGCGUAGGAAUCUGCCUCAUAGUGGGGGACAACGUGGGGAAACUCACGCUAAUACCGCAUACGCCCUACGGGGGAAAGCGGGGGAUCGUAAGACCUCGCGCUAUGAGAUGAGCCUGCGUUAGAUUAGCUAGUUGGUAGGGUAAAGGCCUACCAAGGCGACGAUCUAUAGCUGGUCUGAGAGGACGAUCAGCCACACUGGGACUGAGACACGGCCCAGACUCCUACGGGAGGUAGCAGUGGGGAAUAUUGGACAAUGGGCGGAAGCCUGAUCCAGCAAUACCGCGUGUGUGAAGAAGGCCUUAGGGUUGUAAAGCACUUUCAAUUGGGAGGAAAACCUGCCGGUCAAUACCCGGUAGCUUGACAUUACCUUUAGAAGAAGCACCGGCUAACUCCGUGCCAGCAGCCGCGGUAAUACGGAGGGUGCGAGCGUUAAUCGGAAUUACUGGGCGUAAAGCGUGCGUAGGCGGUUCGUUAAGUCAGAUGUGAAAGCCCUGGGCUCAACCUGGGAACGGCAUUUGAAACUGGCGGACUAGAGUUUAGUAGAGGGGAGUGGAAUUUCAGGUGUAGCGGUGAAAUGCGUAGAUAUCUGAAGGAACACCAGUGGCGAAGGCGACUCC
rnacentral:rRNA from 1 species